CACGUAGGGUGCAAGCGUUGUCCGGAAUUAUUGGGCGUAAAGGGCUCGUAGGCGGUCCGUCGCGUCGGGAGUGAAAACUCGGGGCUCAACCCCGAGCCUGCUUUCGAUACGGGCGGACUAGAGGUAGGUAGGGGAGAAUGGAAUUCCCGGUGUAGCGGUGAAAUGCGCAGAUAUCGGGAGGAACACCGGUGGCGAAGGCGGUUCUCUGGGCCUUACCUGACGCUGAGGAGCGAAAGCGUGGGGAGCGAACAGG
rnacentral:rRNA from 1 species